rnacentral:misc_RNA from 1 species
AUUCUAAGUUAAUUUUAAUUAAGUACAAAAUAAAUUUAAUUUUAAUUCUACAAACAUCUUAAAAGAAAUCUAAUUUUAUUUUCCAAUGAAUCAACCAUAAAUAAAAAUUCUUUUACUACUGAAAAAAAUCGUCAUUCCAAUGUGCGAAUCAAACGCUAUGCUCUAGGAAUAUGAAUGGGACUUGCAUGAGGUGUCGUAUGACUGAUAAUUUACCACACGAGUUCUCAUCUUGGAUGCUAUCUUCUUUACUUCUUGUCCAAUUGAAAAUUGGUAAAGAAAGCUUUUCAAGUCUUUCAUACACCCAUUAGUCUUACGAGUCGCAGAGAGGAUCCAACGCUAACAGUUGUUGAGUCGGUGAGCCUAGUUGGGCUAGGAAGUAGGAACUAUUUGUGUAACAAACAAGGGUCUUCAACUUCUCCGUCGCCUUUACUUUGUGAAGAAGUUUGAUGUCCUGAAAAAAAAAAAAGGAUUAUUUGUCCCUGCUAAUGAGAACAGGGCCUUUCUCCAACUGCGCACUGAGAAGCUUGAAAUGAUAACUCGAUUCUUUGGAUGGCCUACUUGUUUCACUAUCAAGCGUUUGUGCAGGGGUCAACUUCAUCGGGACUCGGGAGUCAUGUGGGUAAGUGUCUGGUGCUAAAGAGCCCUUACAUGCUUGUCCUUUAUGAGUUGAUGAAAUUUCUAUCUUCAUCCAUUAUAUAUUACAGAGACAUUCUUUACAAUCUCAUCUCAAACUAAUUAACAUAACCAUUGGAAUGCUUUUGUGAGACACUGCACAUGGUACCCCUAACCUCUCUUGAUCUCUUUAUUAUAUAUCUAUCCCUUUUAUUGGGAUCAAUCUAAUUGUAUGCUUGUCUGUAGUUGAUUGUAACCUUUAUACAUACACGGUCUACUUUCUAAGUCCCUGAAAAGAGAAGUUCCUUCUACCACACAACUCAUCCUUAUUCAAUUAACACCGCAAAAUUUAUAUUAUUUGCUGCAGAUUUCAGUCAGAAAGCAAUAUGGUUCCCUGAUGUUAGCUGGUGACCAAACCAUAUGAAAUGGGACAUCACCUUAAUUCCUCAUUUUAUCAUGCACGAGGAGUAAUGUUAGCCUGCAUGUUUAGUAUUCCUUGAGUAACUACUGUGUAUCUCUCUUUCUUUAUUUAUGAGGAUGAGAUUGAUACAUUUGUUUAAUGUCUUUCACCAUCUUAAUUAAUAUCUAUGUAUACUCGUACUUGUGUGGGGUUGGCAUUUAAUAGAUUGGCGUGCCUUUCUAUCAGCAGGAAUUGAAUGCUGAAGAAAAACAAAGGAACACAACUUGCUCCAUCACUCAAUUUUCAUCCUGGGAUGCAUGUGAUAUGUUGGAAUCGUGCUA